rnacentral:tRNA from 1 species
UAAAAGAUAAGCUAGAUAAGCUGAAAGGAUCAUGCCCUUUUUACGGGCUAACCUCUUUUAG